rnacentral:rRNA from 1 species
GAGUUUGAUCAUGGCUCAGAUUGAACGCUGGCGGCAUGCCUUACACAUGCAAGUCGAACGGCAGCACGGGAGCUUGCUCCUGGUGGCGAGUGGCGAACGGGUGAGUAAUGCAUCGGAACGUAUCCUGGAGUGGGGGAUAACGUAGCGAAAGUUACGCUAAUACCGCAUAUUCUGUGAGCAGGAAAGCGGGGGACCUUCGGGCCUCGCGCUCUUGGAGCGGCCGAUGUCGGAUUAGCUAGUUGGUGAGGUAAUGGCUCACCAAGGCGACGAUCCGUAGCAGGUCUGAGAGGAUGAUCUGCCACACUGGAACCGAGACACGGUCCAGACUCCUACGGGAGGCAGGCAGUGGGAAUUUGGACAAUGGGGGCAACCCUGAUCCAGCCAUGCCGCGUGAGUGAAGAAGGCCUCGGUU